rnacentral:rRNA from 1 species
GGGAAGAAAUGUAUAGCAAUAGCUGAUUGCACCAACAAACAGUUGAUGCAAAAUUGAUUAUAUCAAAUAAAAUUCUAGGUAGAUUUUUGAUAAUGACAUUGCUUACCUAAGUCUUGACCAAAUUACGUGCCAGCAGUCGCGGUAAUACGUAAAAGACUAGUGUUAUUCAUCUUUAAUUGGUUUAAAGGGUACCUAGACAGCGAAUAAAGCCAUAGGAGGGACUAAUUCGCUAGAGUUACUUAUGAGGGGGUAUUAAAGUACUGCAGGUGUAGAGAUGAAAUUUUGUUAUACCUCUUCUCGUUUGAGAAACUAUGGCACAGGUAUAGGUGAAAGCAUCCCCUUAUGUGAUAACUGACGUUGAGGGACGAAGGCUUUGUGUCGCGAACAGGAUUAGAUACCCCAAUAGUCAAAGCAGAAAAUGAUGAAUGUCAUAGAUUAGAUAUGCAAUUUAUUCUAUAAAUGAAAGUGUAAGCAUUCCACCUCAAGAGUAAUUUGGCGACGUUGGAACUGAAAUCAUUAGACCGUUUCUGAAACCAGUAGUGAAGUAUGUUGUUUAAUUUGAUGAUACGCAAAAAACCUUACCACAAUUUGAAUAUUUAUAUAUAUCUUUCAUUGAUUUAUACUAACAUAUUUGUAGACAAUUAAAAUGAUGCCUAUGUCCCGUUUGUGAGACUAAGCAUCAAAAAAGAUAAUAUAUUUACAAGCGUUGCACGGGCUGUCUUCAGUUAAUGUCGCGAGAUUUUGGUUAGUUCCAUUAAAUUAACGUAAAACCCUUACUUUAUUUAUAUAUAAAGUAGUUCUCCGCUAUAUUGGAUAUGAUAAACAGGGGACUAAGACAAGUCAUCCAUGGCCCUAAAUAUUGUGGGGCUAUAGGACGGUGGCCAACAAUAA